rnacentral:rRNA from 1 species
UGGGGAAUUUUGGGCAAUGGGCGAAAGCCUGACCCAGCAACGCCGCGUGAAGGAUGAAGUAUUUCGGUAUGUAAACUUCGUAAGAAUAGGAAGAAUAAAUGACGGUACUAUUUGUAAGGUCCGGCUAACUACGUGCCAGCAGCCGCGGUAAUACGUAGGGACCAAGCGUUGUUCGGAAUCACUGGGCGUAAAGCGCACGUAGGCGGAUUGUUUAGUCAGGGGUGAAAUCCCGGAGCUCAACUUCGGAACUGCCUUUGAUACUGGCAAUCUCGAGUCCGAUAGAGGUGGGUGGAAUUCCUAGUGUAGAGGUGAAAUUCGUAGAUAUUAGGAAGAACACCGGUGGCGAAGGCGACCACCUGGACUGAUACUGACACUGAGGUGCGAAAGCGUGGGGAGCAAACAGGAUUAGAUACCCUUGUAGUCCCUGAGCGGGCUGGCAAGGCGCAU